GAGCCCAAACCAGAAACUUGUUUCUGGGGUUGCGGAUAGAUCAUAAAAGAAGAGGUAUCUUAAUCGAAGAGGGCUGGAACGCCCUACCAUAGAAGGUAAUAGUCCUGUAGAUAAAAAGAGAAAACUUUAAGAUCUAAUCCAGAGUACCACGAGACACGUGAAACCUUGUGGGAAGCAGGGAGGACCACCUCCCAAGGCUAA
rnacentral:rRNA from 1 species